rnacentral:rRNA from 1 species
CCCAUAACUCAGGGAUAGCCUUUCGAAAGAAAGAUUAAUACCUGAUAGACUUUUUCAAGGCAUCUUGAGAAAGUUAAAGAUUUAUUGGUUAUGGAUGGGGAUGCGUUCCAUUAGAUAGUUGGUGAGGUAACGGCUCACCAAGUCUUCGAUGGAUAGGGGUUCUGAGAGGAAGGUCCCCCACAUUGGUACUGAGACACGGACCAAACUCCUACGGGAGGCAGCAGUGAGGAAUAUUGGUCAAUGGGCGAGAGCCUGAACCAGCCAAGUAGCGUGAAGGAAUGAAGGUCCUAUGGGUUGUAAACUUCUUUUAUAGUAGAAUAAAGUGAUCCACGUGUGGAUUUUUGUAUGUAUACUAUGAAUAAGGAUCGGCUAACUCCGUGCCAGCCGCAGC